UUGCAUCAGUUAUGUGUUAUUUCUUUCUAUUGUGUUUUGUUUUCUUGUUGUCACAUUACUAUUUUGCACAAUGAAUUUAAUGUUGCUGUUGAACAUAAACGUAUCUCAUAUUUUUUAUGUUUGGCGGCACUGCAUGUAUGGAAGACUAUCUACUUUUCAAGGUUGCUGUAACCUUUGGAAAAGCAAUUCUUGAGCUUUGGAGUGAUGACGAAGGUCCAAGCACAGAGGCACAUGGAUGACCCUGCAAUUAUUGAGGUCAUUGGGCAAAGAAGUCGCAAUGAAGGUCUUGCUGAAAUUUAUAUGGUUGCUAGAAGAGCACUUGGUUCUUGUUCGGAAGCUUGGGGAGAUUAUUUUGCCUUCAAUUAUUCCAAUUUUAACUCAAGGGGUUAAACACCCUGACAGUAGUAGAAGACAAAAUGCAAGGAAUUGAUGAAAAAUUUUCCACACCCCUUCAUGCAUUAGAGGAUGAUGAAACUUCUGAUACAGUGCUUGAUGGACUCAAACAAAUAUUGAGGGAUUGCGGUCGUUUUGCCUCACAUCUUGCCUAAAUUAGUCCAAUUUCCACUUUCAUGAGAUUGACAUGGCUGCUUGGGAAGCUUUAGGAAGAGUUGUUGGAUCACUCCAAAAGGAUGCCCUUUCUUCAUUCAUUAAAGUUGUCCGAGAUGCUCUUGAGAUAAAGAGCGAAGAAAAAGAAAGAUAUCUCUUUUUUUCUAUGAAGGCGACCAGCAGAGUGGUGGUGUUUGAAUCUUGUAUGGGGCUAAUGGAGCAGUUGAAAUGCGAGAACAAGCUGCUUUGGGGUUAGGGGAGUUAAUUGCUCUAACAAAUUUGGAGACAUUGAAGGAGUUUGUUAUUCCUGUAACUGGG